rnacentral:rRNA from 1 species
GUAGGUGGCAAGCGUUGUCCGGAAUUAUUGGGCGUAAAGCGCGCGCAGGCGGGUUCUUUAAGUCUGAUGUGAAAACCCACGGGCUCAACCGUGGAGGGUCAUUGGAAACUGGAGAACUUGAGUACAGAAGAGGAAAGCGGAAUUCCACGUGUAGCGGUGAAAUGCGUAGAGAUGUGGAGGAACACCAGUGGCGAAGGCGGCUUUCUGGUCUGUAACUGACGCUGAGGCGCGAAAGCGUGGGGAGCAAACAGGAUUAGAUACCCUGGUAGUCCACGCCGUAAACGAUGAGUGCUAAGUGUUAGGGGGUUUCCGCCCCUUAGUGCUGCAGCUAACGCAUUAAGCACUCCGCCUGGGGAGUACGGCCGCAAAGGCUG